AGUGAUUGCUCAAACGGAUGGCGCUCGGAUGUCAGUAGCUUCUUUCUAUAACCCUGGAAGUGAAGCAGUUAUCUAUCCAGCACCAGCUUUGGUGGAGAAGGAAGCAGAAGAGAAGAAAGAACUGUACCCAAAAUUUGUAUUUGAUGACUACAUGAAGCUGUACGCUGGUCUCAAAUUCCAGGCCAAGGAGCCAAGAUUUGAAGCCAUGAAAGCUGUAGAAACCACUGUCAAUCUGGGUCCAAUUGCAACUGCUUAAUCUUCUUCAAGGAGGAUUUGGAGUCGUCUUAUUUUUAUU
rnacentral:lncRNA from 1 species